GAUGAAGAACGUAGCGAAAUGCGAUACUUGGUGUGAAUUGCAGAAUCCCGUGAACCAUCGAGUCUUUGAACGCAAGUUGCGCCCGAAGCCAUCAGGUUGAGGGCACGUCUGCCUGGGCGUCACAUAUCGUUGCCCAAUGCCUAUUGCAGUGCAAUAGGAAUUUCUAGGGCGAAUGAUGGCUUCCCGUGAGCGUUGUUGCCUCGCGGUUGGUUGAAAAUCGAGUCCUUGGUAGGGUGUGCCAUGGUAGAUGGUGGUCGAGGUAAAACGAUACCGAUCAUGUGCAUGCUCCCCAAAAUAUGGCCUCUAUGACCCACACGCGUCUUUUGACGCUCAUGACGAGACCUCAGGUCAGGCGGGGCUACCCGCUGAAUUUAAGCAUAUCAAUAAGCGGAGGA
rnacentral:misc_RNA from 1 species